UACGAAGGGAGCUAGCGUUGUUCGGAAUCACUGGGCGUAAAGCGCACGUAGGCGGAUUUGUAAGUCAGGGGUGAAAUCCCGGGGCUCAACCUCGGAACUGCCUCUGAUACUGCAAAUCUCGAGUCCGGAAGAGGUGGGUGGAAUUCCUAGUGUAGAGGUGAAAUUCGUAGAUAUUGGGAAGAACACCGGUGGCGAAGGCGGCCCACUGGUCCGGUACUGACGCUGAGGUGCGAAAGCGUGGGGAGCAAACAGG
rnacentral:rRNA from 1 species